rnacentral:lncRNA from 1 species
CUCAGAUUAUUUGAUUUUGACUGUAGUUGAUGAGAAAUAUUUUAAUUCAUAUUAAAAUCUCAAACUUUUGAUUGGAGACUUUGUAUUUUGAGAUACAAUAUAUUUUCUGAAACUCUUAUUAGGCUUUGUCCACAUCUGUACAGAUAUUUAUAAAAAAUAAAUAAAUAAACAGUUUUCACUUCUUUUAAAACUAAACAUCUGUCCACACUAACAGCAUUUUAGACGACAAUGCAAAAACACACGUAACCCAAUUUUUGCAACUUAUUGCAAUGUAAAAUUUGUUAUAAACAUAUUAUCAACCUGUUUAGGUGAAUGACAUAACACAGAAUUUUUGAAGAAUAAGCUUUUUGAAAAAGAUCAGUUUUUAGUUAUCUAAAAUCCUGUUUACAUGUGAAUAACAUCUCUUAUAGAUGGCGACUGAGAGACACAUGAGAGAUUACUGGGGUGUUUUUUUUCUUUUUUUCAGGAUACACUUAUGCAAUUGUCCCUUAUUGCCAUUUAGAAGAAACUGAUUUUUAAAGAGAGUGAUUUUUCUUUCCUGUGGAGGAGUUCUCAUUACUCACUCUAUAUUGCAGAUUCUCAGCUAAUACUGGAGUUUCAGAGACCCAUCAGAGAGAGAGCCAGUGCACUGCUGCCCCAGAGACUCCCUCAGGCUUAUAGAUCAUUUCUUCCUAGUUUUAGGAACGACUCUGACAAUAACCUCCUGAUUCCCAUCAGCCCCGUGUCCGGCAGCAUUCCAUCACUCUUCGACGAUAUCGAUCUAGCUGUCUCUCUCGUCUGCCUCAUCAAUGCACACGUAUGACUAAGGACGACUGUGGGCUGACGUGCUGCAGCAUACGGACAAAAUGCAUUUCACCUCUGAUUCCAGCGCACUUGGCUUUUCUGUCUGUUUUUUUCAAGACCUUCACAAGACAUUAAUUGAUGGACCAGAGUGGUGUGGAUUAUUGUGAUGUUUUGAUCAGCUGUAAGGACUCUCAUUCUGAUGGCACCCAUUCACUGCAGAGCAUCCAUUGAGCUCUGGAUGAAGCACUGCAUCAGUCAGGAAGAGGCUGCUCAUAAUUUCACGCUGAGCUUGUGUCAGAGUGUUUUGUCCUGUCAAGUGGAGCGGGUCUCCCAUCAGCCAGUGGGCAGCGCCAGCAGCUGGCCAACCCAUGGCAGAAAAGUCAGAUAAAAGGUUCAAAAUGAAGCACAUUCUGUAUGGAAUUUUAUACAACAGGAGAUCCCAGAUUAGUUUAUUCUAAUGGAUGUGGAUUAAACGCCCUCUUGUGGGCCGGAGUCAUAAAUCCUCAAAGAUAAAUACAAAACCUAUCUAUCCAUCUAUCUAUCUAUCCAUCCGUCCAUCCGUCCGUCAUUCUAUCUAUUGUUUUAUUUGUUCAAUCUAUUGUUAUAUCUGUCUAUCUACACUGUAAAAAAACCCCUGACAUUUACGGUAAAAAGUCUGUAAAACAUUUUAGGUUUUACAGACUUAACUUAAAUUCACAAUAAAAUACCUGUAUAUCUGUUUUGAACCAUUGUAAUGCACUGAUAACCACCAACAACUGGUGGUGAUGAGAAAGUCAUGAUGAGCAAAGCUUUUCUAUGAGCUGAAAAGGGCAAUACUUGUAUAUAGAAGGUGCACAGUGUCAUUCACAUAAACACUAAACCCCAUCAUGGUGACACACAUGAUACUGAAAUAAUGCAAUUAAUAUUAAUUUAACAACAUUAAAUGUAACAUAAUGUACACAACUGAUAAGAAAAAACUAAGAAGAAACAUGCAA